rnacentral:rRNA from 1 species
GACGAACGCUGGCGGCGUGCUUAACACAUGCAAGUCGAACGGAAAGGCCCUGCUUUUGUGGGGGGCUCGAGUGGCGAACGGGUGAGUAACACGUGAGUAACCUGCCCUUGACUUUGGGAUAACUUCAGGAAACUGGGGCUAAUACCGGCUAGGAGCUCCUGCUGCAUGGUGGGGGUUGGAAAGUUUCGGCGGUUGGGGGUGGACUCGCGGCUUAUCAGCUUGUUGGUGGGGUAGUGGCUUACCAAGGCGUUGACGGGUUGCCGGCCUGAGAGGGUGACCGGCCACAUUGGGACUGAGAUACGGCCCAGACUCCUACGGGAGGCAGCAGUGGGGAAUAUUGCACAAUGGGCGGAAGCCUGAUGCAGCAACGCCGCGUGCGGGAUGACGGCCUUCGGGUUGUAAACCGCUUUCGCCUGUGACGAAGCGGGAGUGACGGUAAUGGGUAAAGAAGCACCGGCUAACUACGUG